GCAGACACAUUCCAGCCAAUCAGCAGCAGACCCUCCCUCCCAGACCCUCCCAUCUCCUGGACAGCUCACUAAGAAUGCAGCUUCACAAUGAAUGUAAAAUGGAUGCUGUCCAGGAGGUGGGAGGGUCUGGGAGGGAGGGUCUGCUGCUGAUUGGCUGGAAUGUGUCAG
rnacentral:miRNA from 1 species